rnacentral:lncRNA from 1 species
UUCUCGCCAAAUUAUCUAGUUUUAUUGAUCUUUAAAAGAGGGCUUAUGGUUUACCGUUCAUGGUCAUAUUACUUUUCACUUAUUUAGUUCACUGUUGACUUCUUCUGCACUUGACAAUUUGGGUUAUUUAGUGGGUCAAAUGAAGCACGUCUCUCUCAGCCACAAAAGAAAAGCCUUGCUCCUCAAAAUUCUCUCCUCUCUUGAACACUAAUGAAAACCACGCUACCUCGCCAGUCGCUACUCAAAAUUUCUCAGAUCUUGAAACCCGACUGGUUGAAGGAGAAAACCCCUCAAGCACAACCUUCUGUCCUAACGAGGCGCUGAGUCUGUAAGCUACUCGCUUUUUCAUGUGGCCAGAUUCUCGAGGUGUCCUCUGGUGCUUGACUGAGAAUGCUUCAGCUUAUUCGAGUUUGUAUUUAUGAUGAUUUCUUUCCACUAUUCCGUUUCUGGCUUCUCUCGUAAAGAUCCCUUAAGAGAUUGAAACGUUGGUUAUGUCAAGAGGAACCAAUUUUAACGAGUUUUGAUUCUUUCUCAUGUCCUUUAUUUUGUAUCCAGAGGAGCUUUCAAAGGGUGUGGUGACACUCAGUUGCGAAUCAUCUAUUGAUGGGGAGGCUUUUGUGACUUUUAUUUGGUUAGCUCCGCCAUGUUUCUAUGAUAUUUAAAUUUGUUCCCACUUUUGUUUUAAACUCCAACGUAUUAGGUUUUUGUUUAGUUGCUUAGGAGCAUUGAAGUUUUCAAUUUAAGAUUGAUAUAGAAUUGGUGAUUCGAUUUUUUUCUAAUAUAACGAGAGGUUUGUCAUAUUUUCACCGUAUGCUUCAAACCUUGUGAUCUGGUGGUAUGAAAUUAUCCAAACAUUGAAUGUUAAAUCUUGUGCUUCUGAAAUGUAGAAAUUUAAUGGGAUAUUUUAGGAAGAAUACAAGAUCAGCAACCUUGUCUCCAUAUCAUUGGCAUCUUAAGUUUCUCUGAGAUUUACCGACUAUGUGUUGAAUUAUUGUUCUUGCAUUUGUUGGAAUCUUCCAAAAGUUCAAGCUGUCAUGAUCAAUUUCCUGAAACCACAGGUGAAGCUCUUUCAAUACAUUGACUAAGGAAAACAGUUAUUAACUUGUUAGCUACCUUAUUUUUAUUGUUUAUUCAGUGAAUUUUUUCCUAUUGUGAUUUAUUAUAUUUCCUUUAUUCUUAUAUAUUUAUAGCUUUGAGGUGGAUUUACUUAUUGUAGGUUGUCUUUUUGGAAUUCUACUGAAGUCUUGUUGUGGCUCUUAUGCCUA